CGCAGUAAGUAAAUGUGAAGUUGUUCAAACAAGAUGCAAGUAUUUUUGUCAUUCCUGGCUGUUAUAAUUUUUGCUCACACGUGUGCUGCCCAAGCCAAUAACAGUGGGGACUCUUCCGCUGAGAAUGGCAGCUCGAGCAUUGCCGUCAUAGAUAACGCCACAUUUGGCAAUGGAGCCUUUAGUAACACCCAACCUCAAACUACCACACAACGAUGCAGCUUGAUACAAAACUUCUUGUCAUUAUUCAUCCCUAAUGUGGAUUGCUAAGUUGAUAUUAAGGAGUGGAAGAGAUAUUUUGUUGUAUUGUGGUUGUUAGAAUGUAUUAAAAAUGCGAAGUAAAACUGUUUUUUGUGUUAGCCCGCAUGCAAGCUAGUUCAUAUGACAUCAAGAGAAAACUACUUCUUCAGCCUUUGUGUAUGUACAAAAUCAAUGCACUUUCAUUUCAAUUUGUUCGGUUUUGGCGAGAAAGCCCACAAACAGACAUAGUAUAGUAUAAUUAGCAAAGAUCUUCUCUCAUGCACGUGUAUUUAAUGCACAGCUUAUUGAUGAGACACUUUAAAAGUGUAAAGCAAAAUUCCUUUGUUCAAACAAAAUGAAUAAUGCAGCUGGGAAAAAACUACGUAACUGGA